rnacentral:tRNA from 1 species
CUUUGGAUGGCUGAAAAAGCGAAAGUCUUUUAAACUUUUUAUAGUAAUACUUCCAUAGA